rnacentral:rRNA from 1 species
CCACGUGUAGCAGUGAAAUGCGUAGAGAUGUGGAGGAAUACCGAUGGCGAAGGCAGCCUCCUGGGAUAACACUGACGUUCAUGCCCGAAAGCGUGGGUAGCAAACAGGAUUAGAUACCCUGGUAGUCCACGCCCUAAACGAUGUCGAUUAGCUGUUGGGCAGCAUGACUGCUUAGUAGCGAAGCUAACGCGUGAAAUCGACCGCCUGGGGAGUACGGUCGCAAGAUUAAAACUCAAAGGAAUUGACGGGGACCCGCACAAGCGGUGGAUGAUGUGGAUUAAUUCGAUGCAACGCGAAGAACCUUACCUGGUCUUGACAUGUACGGAACCCUCCAGAGACGGAGGGGUGCCUUCGGGAGCCGUAACACAGGUGCUGCAUGGCUGUCGUCAGCUCGUGUCGUGAGAUGUUGGGUUAAGUCCCGCAACGAGCGCAACCCUUGUCAUUAGUUGCCAUCAUUAAGUUGGGCACUCUAAUGAGACUGCCGGUGACAAGCCGGAGGAAGGUGGGGAUGACGUCAAGUCCUCAUGGCCCUUAUGACCAGGGCUUCACACGUCAUACAAUGGUCGGUACAGAGGGUAGCCAAGCCGCGAGGUGGAGCCAAUCUCACAAAACCGAUCGUAGUCCGGAUUGCACUCUGCAACUCGAGUGCAUGAAGUCGGAAUCGCUAGUAAUCGCAGGUCAGCAUACUGCGGUGAAUACGUUCCCGGGUCUUGUACACACCGCCCGUCACACCAUGGGAGUGGGGGAUACCAGAAGUA